AAGUCGUAACAAGGUUUCCGUAGGGUUCGUGAUCCCCCCUUCCAUUAUUUUAGUUAUGUUUACUAACUGCUUUCCAGUGAACCUGCGGAAGGAUCAUUAUCGAGUUAGGGUCUCACGGCCCGACCUCCAACCCUGUGUUUAAUUACCAUGUUGCUUUGGCGGGCCCGUCUUCGGACCGCCGGCGGUCAGUCAUGACUUCUGGCCAGCGCCCGCCAGAGACCCCCUUCAAACUCUGUGUAAACGUGUCAGUCUCAGUUAAAAACAAAAUUGUCAAAAACUUUCAACAACGGAUCUCUUGGUUCUG
rnacentral:misc_RNA from 1 species